rnacentral:rRNA from 1 species
UACGAAGGUCCCAAGCGUUGUUCGGAAUCACUGGGCGUAAAGGGAGCGUAGGCGGCGCGGUAAGUCAGAUGUGAAAUCCCGGGGCUCAACCCCGGAACUGCAUCCGAUACUGCCGUGCUUGAGGGUUGGAGAGGUAGCUGGAAUUCUCGGUGUAGCAGUGAAAUGCGUGGAUAUCGAGAGGAACACUCGUGGCGAAGGCGAGCUACUGGACAACAUCUGACGCUGAGGCUCGAAGGCCAGGGGAGCAAAAGGG